rnacentral:tRNA from 1 species
GGGGGUAUAGCUCAGUUGGCUAGAGCACCUGCUUUGCAAGCAGGGGGUCGUCGGUUCGAUUCCGUCUACCUCCA